CAGUGUUGUCGAUUCAUUUGCAAAUCAGUACCAAUAUUUAAUUGAAAUCGAAGAACGAAGACGAACUUUCUCGUUUUGCUUAAAUAUGGCUUCUGCACGAUGAAAAACUGUUGGAUACAAAGUGUUCUGUUUGUUUCACUGGUAUGCAUAUACAUGAUCGAAAAUUUGCAACACUGUCCUUUCAAAUUGCCCUUAAGGUUCUUGAUGGCAUUCCAUAGACAAAUAAGGGGCCAAGAUUUAGAGAUAUGCUUUGAAUGUUAAUUUCUCCUGGUUUACAGCACGUGUGCAUGCUCUAUAAAGUUCACAUUCUUUACAAGGUCAUUUGCUAAUGGAUCAUUCUUUUAGUUAGUUCCACUUGAAAACAUUUACCGAAGUGUUCGGCUUUGAAAGAAGCCUUGUAUGUUGAAGUGUUCCAUGAACUGCCACGUGAUCCGAUUCAUGUACACGUGAUACAUAUUUUUUACGUAAGCACAAAUGGCUAUCGGAUAUCAGGACAUUCACCGGAUGCGGGGAAGUUCGUGCACGAGCACUGCAAAUCUUGGAAUUACUUGGAACUCUCGCUAAGUGGAUUCCCUGUUCACUCUCUGUGUAGUUGCCGCCGGAUUAUAACUUUGUUGACGAUAUCCGAUAGCCUUUCAGCAACCCUUUCUCUCAAGAAAAUAAGCUAGAAAAAAUAUUGAUAUCGCUUCUUUUCCCUUGUUUUGUCUAAUUCAAUUUAAAACGUGACUAUUCAAGGCUUCUUUUUGUUUCCAAAGAAAAUGUUUUGAUUAUUUAUUCCGCUAGAUGGUCGAAGAGCUAUUUAUUUGUGUCACUAGAUGGCGUUUUUUGAAAGAUGAUGGAAACGGAUUCAAACUCGAUAAAUUCACGUGGAUGAUGUAAUGGAUGAAAAAAAAACUCCUUGUAUUUCAAAGCACAUAGGUUAUGUACACUCAAACUGAUGAUGAAUCUUUUUUUACUUCCCGUAAGCAGAUCCAACGGCAAAGUCAGUUGAUGGUGCUGAUGGAGCGAAAUUUGAAGGUGCUGGAAGCAAAACCGCGGGAGAUGCGCUGUAAGACGGUGGAGUGGGCACCGGAACAGGAACAGGUAAUGGCGCCCUUGGGUAUGAUGAUGUUUGAGCAUAACUAAGCGAUCCAGUGUUGGCUGGUCCUGAAAUAUCAUCUGAUAAGGAUGAAGUAUAGGCAGAUGGAUUGGCUAAUGGAAAAGGUACUGCUGAAAUGGGGGCAGUUGGGUAUGAUGAUUGAAUUGAAGGCAAGUAACUUGGUUCAGGAUCAGCCAAUUGUGCCAUGUAG